AGAAUUUUUGUUAUUUAUAUGGUUUUGCUUUUGUGGUUUGAUGCAAGGCCAUGUAGAGUUGAGCAGGUUUCAUUGGUAAGAAGAAUUCUACUGGAUGUUUUCAUUUAUAAAGUAGAAAGGAGAAUUCUACUUAGAUGUUUUCAUUUAUAAAGUAGAAAAUUCUUAACAUUAGAAGAAGCACAAUGCAUUUCAUAUCUUUGCACCUGCAUUUUGAUGGAUGGCAACGGAAAUUUGUGGUAGUGAGUAUGUUGAAAGGAUUGUAUACUAUGAGUUAAAUGAAGUACAUGCGAAGGCUUAUUUUUUGCUUAAGUGAUGGGGUUGUGUUUUGGGGUUUUAGUGAGAAUAGAACUUAGAGCAAGCACUAUGGUAUGAAAGUCUUUCAUAUCUUAGAUUUGUUCCAUAGAAUCAUAACUACUAUGGUUGUUUUUCACCAUGGAAAUACACUUGGCGCAACAUUUGAAGGGAAUAAUUCCAUCAAGUCAAAGACGGACCGGAUGGGGAUUUAUGUCUAAAUACAGUUACUUCUAAUGAUGUUGUGAAUGUGUAUGGGAUAAUUGCUUAUCCGGCCAUUCAUCAACAGUUUUGUUAAAAUUGUGUACUGUAAGUAAAGGAAUUAAAGCAACUUUCCCAUCCGCCGUCUGCUGCAUGGAAAUGUUCCUUGCAUUUGUUGGAAAAACAAUUUAUUUAAGGCGAAAGGGAACGUAGUGGUUGCUUUUCCAUGAAAGUCACCUUGGGAUGGAAGACAUCCAUGGCAUAGUGCUUGCCCUUAGAAAUGAUAGUGUAUCGAGUGAUUUUGAUCAAAUUAUUUCUCUUGCAUGAAAACUAGAAUGUUGCAGCGUAGUUUGCUAGUUACCUUUGCGACAGUGACUAAUAAAAUUUUUUGUUCGAUCAAAAAGCACUUUUUCCAUACAAUGAUGAACGCAUCCAGAAAGGACUGUCCAUAUGGGGAACAAUGUUUAAAUUUAGCUGCUUUUAGUGAUGUCGUGAUUUAUGACAAGUAAAUGUCUGGAUAUAGGACAAUUGUUUAUCUGAACAUUUAAUAUGCGGAUUUUUGCAUGGUAUUGACGCGGUGCUUGGACUUAGGAAGACAUUUACGGCUGAUGCGUGCAGAGGAAAAUUUUCCACGGAAUUCUUCUUGACAUAUCAGUAAUAGAAUUUUCCAUACGCGAGGUACUAGGUUCUAUUAACUAAAAUUCUGCGCAGCUGAGAUAAGAAAAAGAAGAGAGUUACGAGAUUGCUAAUGUAGGCAUCAGUUCUCACAAAUAGAUAUUUCAAAAGUAAAGAAAUUAAAAGAAACUAUCCCAUAUGAACAGAAGGCCCAUACAAUGUCCCCGGCAUCCUCAAAACCUUACUGGAUAAAGAGUAUAUCCAAGUUGAAAAACAGCCCAUAUUUUUCCAUAGAAGAAUCCCAUACCGUUCUGUUUGCUAGAAGAAGUGAUAGUAUAUCGAGUCAGUUGAUCAAAAUUGUUUUUCUUGCAUGAAAACUAUAAUUUGCAGUGUAGUUUGUUACUGCUACAUUUGCAGUCGUGAAUAUCGUACUUUUCUUUCAUAACUUACUGUAAGUGUAGUGUUGAAAAUUUGUUUAGAAAUAUAUAACUAUAGUGGGUUAACGUUCAAAAUUUGUUUGUUCUGCAAUAAAUUACGGGCCUACUGAAAAUGGAAAUUCGCGAUGUUACAAUUUCUGACGUGCGAGGCUUUGGUGCUCAGGGUGGGUCAACAGAGAGAGGCUGGUUCUGAACUUUCUAAAGACAAUUUCAUAUCUAAGUUAAACUGGAGACUGGUGUCAACAGAGAACAGGUUGAGGAAGUAAUUGCCAAGAUAAUCGAGGAAGCAAGAACUGGGGAGAUCGGUGAUGGCAAGAUAUUUUAUGCUGAGAGACUAUCCAAAUUUGGCUAGGGAUUCUUUCUUCUCGUUCAAGUUGUUCCCUCGCUGGAUUUUUGUUCAAUGAUGGAUAUGGCAACUGAGUCAAAAAGGAUGAAUAGUUCUGGUCCAUCAGCAGUUUCAAAUUUCUCAGGAGGUUUUCCACGUAACAUACUCUGGUUGACGAAGAACCACUGCAUCUUUUUGAAUUUUUGAAGGGUCUAGAUUAGCCUGGGUGCAAUUUGAGGUGCAUGUCACUCUUGCAUUUGUGUUUUUGUUCGCGUAAGAUACAUGCAGUGGCUUAUAAUGAAGCAUCAUCAUUCUGUUUGGUUCCAACUAAUAUAAGUUACUAAAAAUCAGUUAACUUCAUCAAAAAAUUACACUCUGUUAAUCAAUCUGUAUCAGUCUGUUGCAACCGAGGAAGUGAGAUUGGUGCUCAGAGGAUCUUAGAGGUGCUCAUAUUUUCUUGUUCAUACCACUUGUCACGAUGAUCUAUCUGUAUUUCCUAAUUUCAACUUCUAGAAAUUUUGCAACAGCGUUCUUCAGUUUGGAUUAAAACCUGGGAAUCUGAAUCUGUUACUUUAUAAGUCACAAUGUUUGUUAUUAAUCACCAGACUUUGAUAGUGUAAACCUUAUUCUUCAUAGAAUAUGAACUACUAUUUCACUUUUGGUA